AGGGUUGUAGCUCAGUGGUUGAGCGCUUGCCUCGCAUGUGUGAAGUACUGAGUUCGAUCCUCAGCACCACAU
rfam:Ictidomys tridecemlineatus contig000021, whole genome shotgun sequence.